UACGUAUGGCGCAAGCGUUGUCCGGAAUUAUUGGGCGUAAAGAGCUCGUAGGCGGUUUGUCGCGUCUGCUGUGAAAACCUAAGGCUCAACCUUGGGCUUGCAGUGGGUACGGGCAGACUAGAGUGCGGUAGGGGUGACUGGAAUUCCUGGUGUAGCGGUGGAAUGCGCAGAUAUCAGGAGGAACACCGAUGGCGAAGGCAGGUCACUGGGCCGCAACUGACGCUGAGGAGCGAAAGCAUGGGGAGCGAACAGG
rnacentral:rRNA from 1 species